AAAUCUUCAAGCUUUGCUUGGUGUUGGGCAUUGUUCGCCUUGCGAACUUGCCUUGAAUAAAUUGGCAGCCAGCCAUUGGGUGUUGGAGCGCAGCACAUUUUGCGUUCUUGGCCAUAAUAGCCGGCGUCCAGAAAGCUUAUAUCAAC
rnacentral:misc_RNA from 1 species